AUUGAACGCUGGCGGAAUGCUUUACACAUGCAAGUCGAGCGGCAGCACGGGGGCAACCCUGGUGGCGAGCGGCGAACGGGUGAGUAAUACAUCGGAACAUGCCCAGUCGUGGGGGAUAACACUUCGAAAGAAGUGCUAAUACCGCAUACGUCCUGAGGGAGAAAGCGGGGGAUCUUCGGACCUCGCGCGAUUGGAGUGGCCGAUGUCAGAUUAGCUAGUUGGUGGGGUAAAGGCCUACCAAGGCAACGAUCUGUAGCUGGUCUGAGAGGAUGAUCAGCCACACUGGGACUGAGACACGGCCCAGACUCCUACGGGAGGCAGCAGUGGGGAAUAUUGGACAAUGGGGGAACCCUGAUCCAGCCAUGCCGCGUGUGUGAAGAAGGCCUUAUGGUUGUAAAGCACUUUAAGCGAGGAGGAGGCUCCUUUGGUUAAUACCCAAGAUGAGUGGACGUUACUCGCAGAAUAAGCACCGGCUAACUCUGUGCCAGCCGCCGCGGUAAGAC
rnacentral:rRNA from 1 species